GGAAUAUUGGACAAUGGGCGAAAGCCUGAUCCAGCAAUGCCGCGUGAGUGAUGAAGGCCUUAGGGUUGUAAAGAUCUUUCAGUUGGGAAGAUAAUGACGGUACCAACAGACGAAGCCCCGGCUAACUCCGUGCCAGCAGCCGCGGUAAUACGGAGGGGGCUAGCGUUAUUCGGAAUUACUGGGCGUAAAGCGCACGUAGGCGGACUGGAAAGUUAGAGGUGAAAUCCCAGGGCUCAACCUUGGAACUGCCUUUAAAACUAUCAGUCUAGAGAUCGAGAGAGGUGAGUGGAAUUCCGAGUGCAGAGGUGAAAUUCGUAGAUAUUCGGAGGAACACCAGUGGCGAAGGCGGCUCACUGCCUCGAUACUGACGCUGAGGUGCGAAAGCGUGGGGAGCAAAC
rnacentral:rRNA from 1 species